rnacentral:lncRNA from 1 species
AUGUCAUUCUUUUUCAGAUUGACCCAGCCAGUCAGCAGGGGCUGCACAGAGUGGUGCUGUGAGGAAAAGAUGGAGGAGAGAUUUCUUCACACAACAAUUUCCACAAUUACUGUCUGCUUUUGCAGAGAAAAUGGACAUGGAUAUAAGGCAAAAGUAAUCAGUGAUUUUCCUUUUGAACAUCUAGCACCUGGAGCCACAGCAUUACCAUAUUAUCUCAUUGUAAAAUAAAUAAGAGAGAAGAUAAGGAAAGCCAAGGUAAUCACAGAUAAGAACUUUCAGAGAAAAGUAAGAAUAACUCGUUCUUUGAUGCCUCAGUAUUUUAUACAUUUUUGUAGUCGUCGUUUGUUAAUUGUACAGAUUCUUAUUUUGGUUAUCUGGACACCAGUUUCUAAACAACUGUACUUAGCAGGACUGUAAUCUUUUCUUCAAAAGAAAAACAAAAUAGAUAUCACUUCCAGAAUAUUGGAAAAAAGAUCCCUGUCUCUUGUUUAUUUAUUUAUUUAGAAAGCACAUACAGCAAUGCAUGGGGAGGGGAAGAGAGAUGCAAACCAGGUGAGCAUACAAAUCCAUCUCAAAAGAUAAUAAUGAGACACUUCCCAGAUGAUUAGUAGCAGUACAUCAGUCUAUGUGAGCAUUUAAACUGUUGUACCUCUAGAUUAAAAAAAGAAACCACAGAGAAUUUCUGAAGAACAAGGUAAAUGUCUGUAUUUCAGAAAUCCCACCACAAUCAACUUGUAGGCAGCAAAGUUUUUGUUCUGUUUUUCUUCCUGAUAUUUCUUCCCAGGAGCCUCUCCUGCUCACGCUAUGGUUUCUUUCCUCAGUGUCCUUCUCUGGUGGCAAGUAAGGAUACUUGUGAAUGAAGACUUUGCCUUAGUUCUUGACCUUUUCUUUAACUUCUUCUGAUGCUUGAGUGAAAUGCCAAGCUCCUCCAUUAUAGCAUUGAAAGAAAGACACUGUUGGGACACAAAAAUUGCAUUAGACACUCUUCACUGAAGACAGAGUUCGGCCAUACCCUCUGACCAAAUCAUGGCUCUUAUAAAAAAAGGAUCUCAGCACUUAAAAGCUGGAUCAGGAAGCUUCUCUAGUGACUUCUGUCAGCUUUGAGCAAGUCCCUAAUUUCUAACAGGUGAAGUUUGUAAUCACUUUUUUUUUUGUUUUGUUUUUUUGCCUAACUUGGCUUCCACUGAAAACAAUUUUAUUUUGGGUUAAUUAAAGCUGGUAUUAAUAUUUCUUAAAUUCUACACAGAUAGGUAGAUUUGUGAUGUUCUGUUGGCUUCACAUAAUAAAACUUACUCUUUUUCAACA